rnacentral:lncRNA from 1 species
AUUGAGUUGGAGAUUAACGAUACCUAUAAGACUAGCAUGUCCUAUGUAUGCUCAGAAAUGAGGAUGGUUGAUCUCAUAACCACUUAUGUGGUGACACUAAUAUAAAGAUGUGGGUGCUCAUUAGAGAAUAAGUUCACUGGAUAGACCUACAAGAGAAUAUCAGAUGGAGUCUUAUUUACAUAUCAACUGAUAAUUCUUUAGUGAGAGUUGUGUAAGUGAUCCUUUGAUCUGAAAUCACCAUGGUACCUUGUGUACAUAAAUCCAUAUUUUGAUUCACUUCCUAACUUGGUUCUCUGAUCCUUGUAUGGGGUGUUCUAAAAAUGAUGAAGUAUAUAUAG